rnacentral:rRNA from 1 species
CCUACGGGGGGCAGCAGUGAGGAAUAUUGGUCAAUGGGCGUAAGCCUGAACCAGCCAAGUCGCGUGAGGGAUGAAGGUUCUAUGGAUCGUAAACCUCUUUUAUAAGGGAAUAAAGUGCGGGACGUGUCCCGUUUUGUAUGUACCUUAUGAAUAAGGAUCGGCUAACUCCGUGCCAGCAGCCGCGGUAAUACGGAGGAUGCGAGCGUUAUCCGGAUUUAUUGGGUUUAAAGGGUGCGUAGGCGGACAGUCAAGUGAGCGGUAAAAUUGAGGUGCUAAACGCCGUACAGCCGUUGAAACUGGCUGUCUUGAGUGGGCGAGAAGUAUGCGGAAUGCGUGGUGUAGCGGUGAAAUGCAUAGAUAUCACGCAGAACUCCGAUUGCGAAGGCAGCAUACCGGCGCCCUACUGACGCUGAGGCACGAAAGCGUGGGUAUCGAACAGGAUUAGAUACCCGAGUAGUC